GAUGAACGCUAGCGGCAGGCUUAAUACAUGCAAGUCAAGGGGCCAGCAAUGGCACCGGCGGACGGGUGAGUAACGCGUACACAACGUACCUUUAACUGGGGGAUAGCAUCUGGAAACGGGUGGUAAUACCGCAUGUGGUUGCGGGGAGGCAUCUCCUUGUAACUAAAACUUUGGUGGUUAGAGAUCGGUGUGCGUCUGAUUAGCUAGUUGGUAGGGUAGAGGCCUACCAAGGCGACGAUCAGUAGGGGGCGUGAGAGCGUGAACCCCCACACGGGUACUGAGACACGGACCCGACUCCUACGGGAGGCAGCAGUAAGGAAUAUUGGUCAAUGGAGGGAACUCUGAACCAGCCAUGCCGCGUGAAGGAAGAAGGCGCUACGCGUUGUAAACUUCUUUUGGGUGGGACGAAAAUAAUCCAUUUAUGGAUAGCUGACGGUACCAUCAGAAUAAGCACCGGCUAACUCCGUG
rnacentral:rRNA from 1 species